rnacentral:rRNA from 1 species
UUCCAGGUGUAGCGGUGAAAUGCGUAGAGAUCUGGAGGAAUACCGGUGGCGAAGGCGGCCCCCUGGACAAAGACUGACGCUCAGGUGCGAAAGCGUGGGGAGCAAACAGGAUUAGAUACCCUGGUAGUCCACGCCGUAAACGAUGUCGAUUUGGAGGUUGUGCCCUUGAGGCGUGGCUUCCGGAGCUAACGCGUUAAAUCGACCGCCUGGGGAGUACGGCCGCAAGGUUAAAACUCAAAUGAAUUGACGGGGGCCCGCACAAGCGGUGGAGCAUGUGGUUUAAUUCGAUGCAACGCGAAGAACCUUACCUGGUCUUGACAUCCACAGAACUUUCCAGAGAUGGAUUGGUGCCUUCGGGAACUGUGAGACAGGUGCUGCAUGGCUGUCGUCAGCUCGUGUUGUGAAAUGUUGGGUUAAGUCCCGCAACGAGCGCAACCC